GUCUAAGGCCAUGCCACCCUGAAAAAGCCUGAUCCCCUCUGAUCUCGGAAGCUAAGCAGGGUCGGGCUUGGUUAGUACUUGGAUGGGAGACCACCUAGGAAGACCAGGUGCUGUAGGCG
rnacentral:rRNA from 1 species